ACUAAAUACAAGCACAACGUUUUGGACUCGCGGUGGGAACGUUUUGGACUCGCGGUGGGGACGUGAGCUGGUCUUCCGAUUCUGCUUCAAUCUUCACUUUUCAACUCUUUGUUGUGUCACGGACUCAUGGUGGUUCUUCUGAUUCUUCUUCAUUCUUUACUCUUUGUUACAUUGCGGACUCGUGUCGUGGGUGGGUCUUUCGAUUCUUCUUCAUUCUUCACCCUUGGUUGUGUCUCAGACUCGCAGCUGCUAUUGGGGAAUAUAUUUCUUGAGGAGCAUCAUCAGUUGUUUUGUCAAAUGCGAUAUUUGAUAAAGAGGCAAUUGCACAACAUAAUUUCAGCAAGGUGUAUAAACUUGCACAUUCUACUACCUUGUUGGCUGACAAAGCUAUGAAUAGUUGUAAGGGAGAAAAAAAUUAAAUGGAACCUUCUUUACCAGAGAUGGAACCAGAUGCCUCUACCACUAAUGCUACAUUACCACCUCAUUCAAGCACAUAAUUAAGGCGUACUCGACCAUUGGUAUGGGAACAUUUCACUAAAAAUCCUGAUGAAGACCAUAAGGCAAAUUGCAAUUAUUGUGGUAUCCUAAUUAAGUACUUGACUGGAACUAGUGCUAUGAAGACACAUUUAAUGAGAUGUGAUGAAGGUCCAAAUAAAAGACUUAAAAGGCAAAGAUCAAAUUCUUCUUCAUCACAAACUGUAGAAGGGCAAGUGAGUGGUGGUGUUCGCUCUUCACCAAGUUAUUUUAAAUUUGACCAUAAACAUGCCAAAAGGAGCUUGUGAAGAUGUUUGUGGUUGCUGAGUUGCCAAUCCGAUUUGUGGAGAAUGAAUCAUUUAUCAAGUUUUUAAGUGUGUUGCAACCACGAUUUAGUGUCCCAUCACGCUCUACAUUAACCCGUCAUAUUUUUAUACUCUUUAAUGAGGAGAGAGAAAAUUUGAAGAAAUUUCUUUCUAUGCAUUGUGGGAUAGUUUGUCUUACAACAGACACAUGGACAUCAAUCCAGAACUUGACUUAUAUGAGUUUGACUGCACACUUUGUUGAUAAUAAUUGGAAGUUGCAAAAGAAAAUUUUGAACUUUCGCCAAAUCAUGGGACAUUCAGGAGAGAUUAUGACAAAAAAUGUUGAGAUAUGCUUGAAUGAAUGGGAGUUGAAUCGGGUUUUUAGUUAAACUGUGGACAAUGCUUCAUCUAAUGACCUUGGGAUUCAAUACCUGAAAAAGAGGUUAAUGUCUUGGCAAAGUGUACUUUUGAAGGGGAAGUAUAUUCAUAUGUGUUGUUGUGCGCAUAUUUUGUGUUUAAUUGUGAAGGAUGACCUUAAAGAGGUAGAUGACUCCAUUUUAAGAAUUCAUGGUGCAGUCAAGUACAUUAGAUCAUCACCAUCUAGAUUGGCUAGAUUCAAGGCUUGUGCUGAACAAGAGAAAAUUACCUAUAAAGGCCUUGUUUGUCUAGAUGUUGAAACUAGGCGGAUUCAACUUACUUAAUGUUGGAGGCAGCUCUCAAGUAUAAAAAAGCAUUUGACUUACUUGAAAUGCAAGAUAAUAAAUAUGUUGAGGAUCUACAUAAAGGGAAAGGUGUACCAUUAGAAUCUGAUUGGGAUGAUGCUCAUUUGCUCUUGCCUUUCUUGAAGAUGUUUUAUGAUGCAACGAUAUGUAUUUCUGGUUCUUAUCAUGUCACUAGUAAUAUAUAUAUAUGAAGGAAGUAUUUGCAAUUGGAAGGAAGAUUCGCAAGUGUCAAGAGAAUAAUGAUAUUUUCAUAAGGUCAAUAGCUACUCGAAUGAGAAUUAAAUAUGACAAAUAUUGGGGAAGACCUAAUGGAAUUAACAUUUUGUUACUUAUUGUUCUUGUCCUUGAUCCUAGGUGUAAAUUGGAAUAUGUUAACCAUUUCAUUGACUAUUUAUUUGAUGAUGAUCAGGCAAAUGGAUUAAAGUUAAAGUUGUCUUCUAGUUUAAGAUCACUUUAUGAGCAGUACCAAGGUAUUGAAGGGGGUUCUCAAAGUAAUCACCAAGUAGUACAAUUAGAUGAUGAUGAUGAUGAUAUCCAUGGUAUAGUUUUUAUUUACAAACAACUGGGCGUAGAUUUGAUGCAAAAUCUGAAUUGGACAAGUAUCUAAAAGAAGAUUGUGAGCCUUUCAUCAAGUCAGUUGAAUUUGAUAUUUUAAAUUGGUGGAAAGUAAACUCAACUAGAUUUCCAAUCCUUGGAAGUAUAGCUCGAGAAGUGUUAGUCAUUCCCGUUUCUACAGUAGCAUCAGAAUCUUCAUUUAGUACUAGAGGAAGGGUUCUUGAUCCUUAUCGAAGUUCUCUUACUCCUAGAAUGGUGGAAGCACUAGUUUGCACGCAAGAUUGGUUGAAAGGAUCAUCUUUUUUGAUAUUUACUAAUGAGGACUUUGAAGAGCUUGAGAAAUUAGAACAUGGUUACAAACUAUUUCAAUAUCAAGAAGCCUUGGACUGUACAUGCAAGAUUGUAACCGACAUGAUCAAAUCUAGAGGAAAUUUGGAAGAUUAAUAUUUGAUUGAUUUUCAAAAAAUAUGAAUGAAAGAUCUAUAAUGUGGACUUUUA